CAGUCGACGAACUCUGGUAUUGAUUGGUGCUUGCAUCAUGAUUUACAUUUGAGUGAGUGGCGAACUGGUGAGUAACACGUGGGAAACCUGCCCAGAAGCGGGGGAUAACACCUGGAAACAGAUGCUAAUACCGCAUAACAACUUGGACCGCAUGGUCCGAGUUUGAAAGAUGGCUUCGGCUAUCACUUUUGGAUGGUCCCGCGGCGUAUUAGCUAGAUGGUGGGGUAACGGCUCACCAUGGCAAUGAUACGUAGCCGACCUGAGAGGGUAAUCGGCCACAUUGGGACUGAGACACGGCCCAAACUCCUACGGGAGGCAGCAGUAGGGAAUCUUCCACAAUGGACGAAAGUCUGAUGGAGCAACGCCGCGUGAGUGAAGAAGGGUUUCGGCUCGUAAAACUCUGUUGUUAAAGAAGAACAUAUCUGAGAGUAACUGUUCAGGUAUUGACGGUAUUUAACCAGAAAGCCACGGCUAACUACGUGCCAGCAGCCGCGGUAAUACGUAGGUGGCAAGCGUUGUCCGGAUUUAUUGGGCGUAAAGCGAGCGCAGGCGGUUUUUUAAGUCUGAUGUGAAAGCCUUCGGCUCAACCGAAGAAGUGCAUCGGAAACUGGGAAACUUGAGUGCAGAAGAGGACAGUGGAACUCCAUGUG
rnacentral:rRNA from 1 species